rnacentral:rRNA from 1 species
GGCUUGUUGAAGAUAAUUUCAAGUCUAACCUGCCCACUGAGUAGUUGAAUGGCCGCGGUAUAUUGACCGUGCAAAGGUAGCAUAAUCACUAGUUUUUUAAUUGAAAGCUUGAAUGAAAGGUUUGAUGAGAAAAAGACUGUCUCUGUAAAAAUUUAUUAGAAUUUUAUUUUUAAGUUAAAAAGCUUAAAUAUUUAUAGAAGACGAGAAGACCCUAUAGAGUUUAAUAAAUAUAUAGGAAUUAGUAUUAAGGUUUCAAAUACUUGUUUUUUGAAGUAUUUAUUUGGUUGGGGUGACAAAAAAAUUGAGUUAACUUUUUUUAGUACAGUACAUUGAUUUAUGAGUAACUGAUCCUGAUUUUAAGAUUAGAAGAGAAAAUUACCUUAGGGAUAACAGCGUGAUUUUUUUUAGAGCUCUUAUCGAAAAAAAAGAUUGCGACCUCGAUGUUGGAUUAAAAUAAAUUUCUGGUGUAGAAGCUAGCGAAUUAGGUCUGUUCGACCUUUAAAAUUUUACAUGAUCUGAGUUUAAACCGGCGUGAG